AGUUUAAGUGCAAGUAAGCAGGCAGUUUUCGAAGUCAAAGAAGGUGAAAGAUAGAAAAGGGUCAUCUUCCCCAAUCAAGAAAGGGAACCCAUGCCUACAAGUUAGAGAACCCCCGAAAUUCUCCCACUGCCAUAAACCGCUGAAACGGAGAGCUAAGGCAGGGACUCUGUGAGUCAUGAGAACAGAAUCCAGUGAGGAGAUGCUGGCGCAGGACAUUUCCUGUUUUCAGAGUCCCUGCCAAGCCAGUUAUGGAUGGAUUUGCAUUUGGCUUGGGAAAUGAGUGCACCAAGCCAGUUUUGGUAGCUCUGCUUCCCCCUGGGUGGGGCAGCAAGCCCCAAUAAAAAGGUCCUCUGCUGCACGACAGCUAUCCUUCUGCUACUCGAGUUCCGAUUGAACUUGGAGAACCUGAUAUUGAGAUUCCAGAAAGAUGUCUUCUCAAGAGCAGCAGUGCAAGCAGCAGUGCAAGCCACCUCCAGUGUGCCCACAUAAGUGCCCUGAUCCUUGCUCACCUACCAAGGUGAAAGACCCUUGCCCACAGAAAAAGGACACCGACCCUUGCUCACCGAAAAAGGACACCGACCCCUGCCAGCCUAAGGAGUGCCAGAAGAAAUGUCCUCCUGUGACACCUGUUCAGCAAUGCGAGCAGAAGUGCCCACCCAAGAACAAGUAACAGCUUCAGCUUUUAUCUGCAUCCGGAAGGGAUAAGGACAAUCGGCUCACCUAGUCCCACAGCUCCACCUUCAUCUUCUCUUCAAAGCCUAUCAUGGAUACAGAAGAAGCUUUCCACCCUUCAGCCUGCAGUGUGCGUGUGGUGAUUCCUGACGGUCAGAGGUUUCCUAUCUGAGUCUGCUACGCCGCUUCCCUCUGGAGGUACCCGAGAAAGCAUCGCAGAGCCUCAGGAGGAAAAGCAGCAGCUCUUCUCCCGAGGGCCCUCUGAGGAUUCUCUCGCUUUCUUCUGUGUCUGUCUGUCACCUGGGCAGUGUUUUCUACCAGAUGAGCAAUUGUUCCUUAUCCUCCACACCCUGAAUAAAAUACAAUUCUUUUGUGUGAUGGUAAAAA